GCGCACGCGCUGUGCUGGGUUCAUUCCCCCCGGCCCAGGCCGCCUCACUGUGCAGUGAGAAUCUGUGAUGUGGGGGUGAGGCCGAAGGGCGCGGUGCGUGGCCUUCCGAAGUCUUUCUCUAAUGAUGAAAACUAGAGAUGGAGAGGAGGCGGAGGACGUUACCUAACUAAACACAGCUGCGUACUAGCUCCUGCACACAUGCACGGAGGGAGGGCGCCUCCUAAGUCUGGACAGUGCGGGUGGAAGGAAAUCCGGAGUCAAGUUUCGCUUCCCCGCCUGGUGGGUGGAGCUCAGCCCUGUGCCAGUGACAGGCGCUUGGUGUCCUUCUCACUGCUGUGCUUCCCCGAAAAUAAGACCUAGUUGAAAAUAAUCAGCCUUGAAAACCAGAGAUGAAAAAUGCCAGCCCCACCCGCCAAUCCUCGUUCACCUGUCUUCACUGUUCUCUUGCCUGGCGGCUGCACGGCAGGUGCCGAGGAAGAAAAGAAAUUGGUGCACGGGCUUGAGUGUGGCUCCCUCUGCGUUUUAGAAGGGUUGGCGGUGGCCCAGGUCCUGGUGCAUCAUGCAGAAGGAGUCUUCAGUGUUAGGACACAGAGCUUCCUGCCUGGCAUAAUUUACCCCACAAACCUUCACAUCCCCGGAGCGGGUGUGUUUUUAAAGUUUGAUAUUUCUGCAGUGCUUUAGAACACAUCCAUAUGGAUUUCAGCUACUCCUUUUCUGUAACUGGCUGGUUUUCCACUGAAUAAAAACAUUUUCACAACUCAGAUUUUCUGUAGUAGAAGUGGUUGGGCAGGGAAUGGAAUGACAUUCUGAAUACUUCAG
rnacentral:lncRNA from 1 species